rnacentral:rRNA from 1 species
CCUACGGGUGGCUGCAGUGGGGAAUAUUGCACAAUGGGCGCAAGCCUGAUGCAGCAACGCCGCGUGAACGAUGACGGCCUUCGGGUCGUUAAGCUCUGUCCUCACGGGAGUUAAUGGCGGUACGUGAGGCGGAUUCCCCGGCUAACUACGUGCCAGCAGCCGCGGUAAUGCGUAGGGGGCUACGGUUAUCCGGAAUUACGGGGCGUAAGGGGUGCGUAGGUGGUUUCUUAGGUCAGAGGUGAAAGGCUACGGCUCAACCGUAGUAAGCCUGUGAAACUGGGGAACUUGAGUGCAGGAGAGGAGAGUGGAAUUCCUAGUGUAGCGGUGAAAUGCGUAGAUAUUAGGAGGAACACCAGUUGCGAAGGCGGCUCUCUGGACUGUAACUGACACUGAGGCACGAAAGCGUGGGGAGCAAACAGGAUUAGAUACCCUAGUAGUC